AUUGACUAAGGUUUCCAGAGGAAGGCUCGUCCGCUCUGGGUUAGUCGGGUCCUAAGCUGAGGCCGACAGGCGUAGGCGAUGGAUAACAGGUUGAUAUUCCUGUACCACCUAUAAUCGUUUUAAUCGAUGGGGGGACGCAGUAGGAUAGGCGAAGCGUGCGAUUGGAUUGCACGUCUAAGCAGUAAGGCUGAGUAUUAGGCAAAUCCGGUACUCGUUAAGGCUGAGCUGUGAUGGGGAGAAGACAUUGUGUCUUCGAGUCGUUGAUUUCACACUGCCGAGAAAAGCCUCUAGAUAGAAAAUAGGUGCCCGUACCGCAAACCGACACAGGUAGUCAAGAUGAGAAUUCUAAGGUGAGCGAGCGAACUCUCGUUAAGGAACUCGGCAAAAUGACCCCGUAACUUCGGGAGAAGGGGUGCUCUUUAGGGUUAACGCCCAGAAGAGCCGCAGUGAAUAGGCCCAAGCGACUGUUUAUCAAAAACACAGGUCUCUGCUAAACCGUAAGGUGAUGUAUAGGGGCUGACGCCUGCCCGGUGCUGGAAGGUUAAGAGGAGUGGUUAGCUUCUGCGAAGCUACGAAUCGAAGCCCCAGUAAACGGCGGCCGUAACUAUAACGGUCCUAAGGUAGCGAAAUUCCUUGUCGGGUAAGUUCCGACCCGCACGAAAGGCGUAACGAUUUGGGCACUGUCUCAACGAGAGACUCGGUGAAAUCAUAGUACCUGUGAAGAUGCAGGUUACCCGCGACAGGACGGAAAGACCCCGUGGAGCUUUACUGUAGCCUGAUAUUGAAAUUCGGCACA
rnacentral:rRNA from 1 species